rnacentral:tRNA from 1 species
GGUUGUGGCUCAGUGGCAAAGUACUUGCCUAGCAUGCACGAGGCACUGAGUUCGAUUCUUAGCACCA